AUUGAACGCUGGCGGCAGGCCUAACACAUGCAAGUCGAGCGGAUGAAGGGAGCUUGCUCCUGGAUUCAGCGGCGGACGGGUGAGUAAUGCCUAGGAAUCUGCCUGGUAGUGGGGGAUAACGUCCGGAAACGGGCGCUAAUACCGCAUACGUCCUGAGGGAGAAAGUGGGGGGUCUUCGGACCUCACGCUCUCAGAUGAACCUAGGUCGGAUUAGCUAGUUGGUGGGGUAAAGGCCUACCAAGGCGACGAUCCGUAAGUGGACUGCGAGGAUGGUCAGUCACACUGGAACUGAGACAGGGUCCAGAGUACUACGGGACGCAGCAGUGGGGAAUAUUGGACAAUGGGCGGAAGUCUGAUCCAGCCAUGCCGAGUGUGUGAAGAAAGUCUUCGGAUUGUAAAGCACUUUAAGUUGGGAGGAAGGGCAGUAAGUUAAUACCUUGCUGUUUUGACGUUAACAACAGAAUAAGCACCGGCUAACUUCGUG
rnacentral:rRNA from 1 species